rnacentral:rRNA from 1 species
GCUGAAGAGAGGAGCUUGCUCUUCUUGGAUGAGUUGCGAACGGGUGAGUAACGCGUAGGUAACCUGCCUUGUAGCAGGGGAUAACUAUUGGAAACGAUAGCUAAUACCGCAUAACAAUGGGUGACACAUGUCAUUUAUUUGAAAGGGGCAAUUGCUCCACUACAAGAUGGACCUGCGUUGUAUUAGCUAGUAGGUGAGGUAACGGCUCACCUAGGCGACGAUACAUAGCCGACCUGAGAGGGUGAUCGGCCACACUGGGACUGAGACACGGCCCAGACUCCUACGGGAGGCAGCAGUAGGGAAUCUUCGGCAAUGGGGGCAACCCUGACCGAGCAACGCCGCGUGAGUGAAGAAGGUUUUCGGAUCGUAAAGCUCUGUUGUAAGUCAAGAACGAGUGUGAGAGUGGAAAGUUCACACUGUGACGGUAGCUUACCAGAAAGGGACGGCUAACUACGUGCCAGCAGCCGCGGUAAUACGUAGGUCCCGAGCGUUGUCCGGAUUUAUUGGGCGUAAAGCGAGCGCAGGCGGUUUGAUAAGUCUGAAGUUAAAGGCUGUGGCUCAACCAUAGUUCGCUUUGGAAACUGUCAAACUUGAGUGCAGAAGGGGAGAGUGGAAUUCCAUGUGUAGCGGUGAAAUGCGUAGAUAUAUGGAGGAACACCGGUGGCGAAAGCGGCUCUCUGGUC